ACCCAUUUGAGGUACGACCUCAAACUCCAACAUCAACAGCAUUACUCAGAUUACUCACAAUCUUAACAAGUACACCCACAACUCAAGGCCAUCUGACAAGGUCAAUGGGCCUCAGCAACGGUCUAAACCUCCAAUCGUGGUUCAAUUUGAAUCACGAGAGUCGACAUACAGUCGGAACGGCCCAACCGUCCCACAACAGGUGAGAGUGCUCUUCCACGAGGCAAAACACCAUCUAUAAAAUCUCCCUGUCAAUUGAGCUAACGAUUAGUGACUCGAUCGGACAUAACGACCGAUCAAGGACAUUCUUUAUUUCAAGGAUUCUCGAUCACCCAAAGCUAAUGGCCACUCAGGCCCCAACCCUCUCCAACACUUACCCUAUUUUAGGUAAGGGAGACUAUCAACGCAUCUAGCGAAGUAAAUCCUCAAAUCGCACUAUUUCGUGCUCACCGUCCUCAAGGCGAGUCAAGUCAGCUCGCAAUCCAAGGGUACCCAGGUACCCCUAACAACUCCACACAAAGGAAGGCCAAUCUAUUUGUUGCACACAGAAUCAUCUCACGGGUAGGGCGUUCGAAAACGACACACCCGAUCACCGAUCAUCCACACACGCCGAAAAGGUUCACACUACAAAAUCCUCAGGUUGGGUAACUACACACUAAGUGUGUCUCGAUCUCACGAUCCAACACGUGGCUUUCCACGUUCUAGGGUCCACGCUCAGACUACCAUCCUGACCAAAAACUCUGCCCUACCCGCAGGGUACAGGGCGCUGGCACCACAGCCGACGCACCUGCCCAAGGGCCCAGGCUCCAAGUCCCCAAAUGGUCCAAGCACGGGUCUCUCCAAGCACUAUCCGGCAAACAGCCGAGUCCGGGGUACAACUAAUGCAAUCCUCGUGAAAUCUACAAGCAUAGCAAAAUAUGCCACCCGCAACCCGCAAAUCAAUCGCCUGGCUCGAGAGCUACACAAUGUCGCAAACAGCGAAACUAACGAAAUGUAAUGCAACUCGUGAAUACGAUCAUACAGAUGCAAUGCUCCAAUAACCAACAGAUGCACAACUCGAAUGCCACAAACGAAACUGAUACCUGUAGUCACAAACUCGCCGCUGCCGCUACUCUGUCUGGGCCACGUACAGGCGUCUGCUCAGGGCCCGUCGUGACCCUCCGUCUGUCGCUGACGGGUGGCCUUCCGGCCUGACAGUGAGUAAAAGCAUCCCCCGGCUGGGAUCCGGUAAUACUGUACCGAUGCUGAAGAUGGCGCGAUGCUAACCCCUCCGAACAGUCUGCAGGAGUGACCCUCCUGGCCACACGAGUAGCACCUGCCCUGCCAUCUGUGAGCACUGCUGCGGGAAAUGACGGCCACCGCAGAUCACGCAGCUCUGAGUCUGAUGACGCUCGGAUCCUCUAUGCCGUGCUGAUGGCCGUUCUCCGACUGCUGCCUGGCUCCAGUUCUCGGCGGCCUCCCAGAGGUGCGUCUGACUCACCCUCAGUCACGGUCUCAUGCCAUUUCCUUUGUUUGAGCCUUUCCGAGUUUCUGUAGUCUGCCGCGCAGCUUUCCACGAUGGAGCGCGGUUACCACAUUUUGGUAAGUUGAGGAGUGGAGGUUCACAACCGUAAAAUCGACGACCGAAGUCCUCGGCUCGAAGAUGCGAGCUUAUCCUCGUCGUCUCGCACAACAAAGGGCGCAUAGCGUAGAAGCUGAGAGAACUCCUCUCGUACUCGGCCACAGUCCGAUCCUCCUGGCGAUCUCGCGCAAUCCUGCUCCACUUUCUCUUCACCGCGACGAGAGUAUAUGCUCUAAUAAGAGCUCCUUGAAUCUCAAGAAUCGCUGCUAGUCGGUCGGGAUUAUCCUGGAUGCCACACCACCAACUAUAGCCGCCAUCCAAAUGUGAGUGGCGAGCCAAACUCUAUCUCUCUUCUCCACGAAGGUGUCGCGGAAUAACUUCUCAUAAUCAGUCAACCACUUUCAACGAUCAGUGGUCGAUUUUCUCUCCAUCAAAGAUCUGGGAUCGCGCUCCUGAACUCGUCGAGGCAGAUCCAUGAGCGCUGCCGCUCCGCUCUUUCAACCAUCAAGGGAAAAGUCGCCGCUGUCACAGACACCUGAGCGGUGGUGCUGUCAAUGCCUUCUCCCGAAGGGCUACCGUAAGUGUCAUCUGCGAAGUGCGAGUACAGGGAGAUGACCCACGGGCGCAACUAUUUCAACUGCGCGGGUAGUACCGAGACCGAGCCUCCCCGGCAGCUGCCUGUUGUAAAAGAAGGUCCUCCAGGCGCGCAUCGUACUUCCUGUCGGCGUGCGUAUCCACCAGCUGUCGAGCCGCCGCCGCCUGCUGCGUCACCAGAUCAGUGAGGGCCACAAGCUGACUCCUCAAUCACGGACCUCUUUGGAUAGCGGAGGCAGCGGGUAUCUCCGCUUCCUCAAAGUCGCGCAUCGUCCGCUCCAACUACUUAGUGCGUGAAGUAGCAUUGACACUACAACAUCAUAAAAGCGCAAGUUAAUAUAACCCACGCUAUCGCAACCCGCUUCAAUAAUAUAAUCCCAAUAUGCGAAAGUAAAGAGUCCCAACUACUAACUCCGAUGUUACAUGUCGGCGCCAACGUAACGCUCGCGGAAGUUAGAAGUCAAACUACGAUUUAACUCACUUUCUAGAGUUAUCCAAGAUACCCAAUCCAGAUACUUUCGCUUACAAGUCAAAUAGACCUCGUCUCUCCCGAGCCUAUUUCCUAUAGUCCAAUCCGGCCUAAGGUUUGCUAGGUCCCCUAAUACUCAACCCUAGCUCUGAUACCAAAUUAAUCUGUCCAUAUAUCUAUCUGUUUAUUGAACUAACCUGCAGGUUGCCUCUCUUUGACCUAUUGGUCGAGCUUUUCCCUUGGGUGGCCGUACCCACUGGGAACCAUGGAGUUGGUUCUCACCCCACGUUGUUUUGGGGUGUUACAGGUUCGCACGUGAGCGGCGCGGCGGCGCGAGGCAAGGGCGUAGCUUCGUAGAUAGCGCCCUACCCAGAGACCAGAGUUAGCAGUACCCCGUCGACAUAGCUUAGGGGUAUGGGGUGUUAUUAAUGAAAAGAACACAAUGUAUCAACGUGUAAAUAAAUUUGUAAGAACUUAGAUUGCAUUUGGAUGAAAAAGAAUGUAAAAAGAACUGUGAUGUAAAAAGUAUGAAUGUAAAUGUUUGUAAUAAUAUAGGAUGUGUUUAUGUUGUUUGAUACCUUCCAUUAUGCAAUCUUGAUUGAUAUCAGUUCCUGAUUGGAACCUUCGUAUUGUAUGGAUUGCGUUGCCUUGAAUGUACAGGGGAGACUCUGUCCGCAGUACAGGGGAAACCCUGUCCAUUCGGCGAUGUCGGCGGCGCUGCGACCUCGGCCAAAUAGGCGGGUGGUCGCGAGUCGUGACAGGAACACUGUCAACGACCCACCAGAAAGUCUGGAAAAGCUCGACACACAAAUCAAACACUCGAACCUCGCAAUUUGCAAAGGUCCAGUGUGUUACAUUCACCCCUCCUAAAAAGGAGUUUCGUCCGCGAAACUCAAGGCAGAAACACACCUCAAGGCUCCAUCUGAAAAAGAUGAGGAUAGCGCUCCUGCAAAGCGCUCUCUAGUUCCCACGUUGCCUCCCGCUCCCCGUGGUUGCUCCAAAGAACCUUCACAUACGGAAUAUCCCGAUUCCGCAGUUUCUUCAUUUCGCGAGCCAAAAUCUUCACUGGUUGCUCCUCGAAGCUCAAAUCCUCGCGCAGCUCCACUGGUAUAGCUUCCAAGACAUGAGCUGGAUCAAGAAUGCACCUCCGAAGGACCGAUACAUGAAAGACGUUGUGCACGCCAGAUAGGUUCGGUGCUAGAGCAAGUCGAUACGCUACCGGACCCAUACGCUCCAAGAUCUCAUACGGUCCAAUGAAACGGGGGCUCAACUUUCCCCGAAUCCCGAAUCUCUUGAUUCCUCUAGUCGGCGAGACUUUCAAGAAAACAUGGUCUCCCACUUGGAACUCCAAGUCCCGCCGCCGUCGAUCAGCGUAGCUCCUCUGUCUACUCUGCGCCGUCAAAAGUCGCUCCCGAGCAAUUCGAACCUUAUCCUCAGCUUCCUGGAGCACAUCAGGGCCUAAAGCCAAUCUCUCGCCGACUUUACUCCAAUGAAGUGGCAAUCUACACUUCCGUCCAUAGAGUGCUUCAAACGGCGCCAUCUUGAUGCUUGCUUGAUAACUGUUGUUAUAAGCAAACUCCGCCAUAGGUAGAUGCUGCGACCAUCCUCCCUGGAAAUCCAUCACACAUGCCCGGAGCAUAACCUCUAAAGUCUGUAUAGUGCACUCCGACUGUCCAUCACUCUGCGGGUGGAAUGCGGUGGUGAAAUCCAAUCAAGUGCCCAAAACGUCCUGCAGACUCCUCCAAAAGAGAGACACGAACCGAGUGUCUCGAUCUGAUACUAUCGGUGUAGGCACUCCAUGAAGUCGCACAAUCUCGUCGAGGUACACUUGUGCGAGCUUCUCCCCAGUCCAAGUCAUAUGAAUACGUAUGAAGUGCGCCGACUUCGUCAAUCUAUCCGCGAUCACCCAAAUAGCAUCAUGCCCAGCCUGUGAGCGAGGCAAUCCUGUCACAAAGUCCAUGGUGAUCUUCUCCCACUUCCACACAGGGACAGGUAAACUCCGAAGCUUCCCUGCGGGAACUCGGUGCUCCACUUUUACUUGUUGGCAAGUUAGACAACGAGCCACAAACUCACCAACGUCCUUUUUCAUCUCGGGCCACCAAUGAAGCAACUUUAGAUCCUUGUACAUCUUGGUGCCACCCGAAUGUAUAGCAUAGAGCGCCCGGUGCGCUUCUUGAAGAAUAUCUUCUUUAAUCCCCGAAUCCGCGGGUAUACAAAUCCGCCCACGGAAACGUAUCCAUCUCAGAUCAUCCCAAAAGGGAGUCGCUGGUGCAACCAUCAACCAUUUUACCUUGAAUCUUUUGCAAUUCCAAAACGAAAACUUGCUUCUCUUUGAUCCUAUCCAAAAGACUAGGUUGCACUACCAAAUUCAUCAACCUCAAAUUCACCACUCGGGAGUACUCUCAAUCCCACUGCAAAAUAUGGUCGGGGCUAAGCUCAAAAGCUUCAUCAGUCUACUAAGAUCGUCAUCUUAGUGCUAACUCAAGUCCAAGUAAACUCUCACAAGCCUAGGCCAAAAGGCCUAGCUUCGACAGAAGGCUCACAACGCAAUCACUUUGAAAUUUCCGAUCCCAAUGCCUUUCCUAGCAUUGGAUGCUCCAGGUGUCCAUGGUCCCCAACUCAAUUCUCGCGAUAGAGGUGGAUCAAUCCACCGUUCAACGACAGCUCUCUAUCAAAGUCAUCCUGAUGCGAUCGUCAAACCAAAGUCAAUUCCAUCAGUCCUCAUAUAAGGUUCUAUCCUGAAGGACUCAAUUCCUUGUACGCGCUCCUGACACGGGGAAUUAUCAACUUGGUACCUUCCCUCUCACAAGUUUUCCAUCCAUCAGUGAGAGUUCCACAACUCAAUCACCUCAAACCUGCCUACGCAGUCCAACCUCGCACAUCCUAUCAAAAUACCCCAAGUCAUCCGCAACGGUUCUACAAAUCCACCCAGAGGGCUCGGAUUUAUCAUUCCGCGAACCCUUCCACAGGUAGAGUAUUAUAGGCUUAGGCAGCAUCAUCCUCGUGAUGUCCACACCUAGCAUCACAACCCAUUUGAGGUACGACCUCAAACUCCAACAUCAACAGCAUUACUCAGAUUACUCACAAUCUUAACAAGUACACCCACAACUCAAGGCCAUCUGACAAGGUCAAUGGGCCUCAGCAACGGUCUAAACCUCCAAUCGUGGUUCAAUUUGAAUCACGAGAGUCGACAUACAGUCGGAACGGCCCAACCGGUCCCACAACAGGUGAGAGUGCUCCUCCACGAGGCAAAACACCAUCUAUAAAAUCUCCCUGUCAAUUGAGCUAACGAUUAGUGACUCGAUCGGGGACAUAACGACCGAUCAAGGACAUUCUUUAUUUCAAGGAUUCUCGAUCACCCAAAGCUAAUGGCCACUCAGGCCCCAACCCUCUCCAACACUUACCCUAUUUUAGGUAAGGGAGACUAUCAACGCAUCUAGCGGAAGUAAAUCCUCAAAUCGCACUAUUUCGUGCUCACCGUCCUCAAGGCGAGUCAAGUCAGCUCGCAAUCCAAGGGUACCAGGUACCCCUAACAACUCCACACCAAGGAAGGCCAAUCUAUUUGUUGGCACACAGAAUCAUCUCACGGGGUAGGGCGUUCGAAACGACACACCCGAUCAACCGAUCAUCCACACACGCCGAAAGGUUCAACACUAACAAAUCCUCAGGUUGGGUAACUACACACUAAGUGUGUCCUCGAUCUCAC
rnacentral:lncRNA from 1 species